UACGGAAUGUGCAAACGUUAUUCGGAAUCACUGGGCUUAAAGAGUCCGCAGGCGGCUUGUUAGGUGAGGUGUGAAAUCCCCCGGCUCAACCGAGGAAUUGCGCUUCAAACCGGCGAGCUUGAGGAAGGUAGAGGUGGGCGGAACUGAUGGUGGAGCGGUGAAAUGCGUUGAUAUCAUCAGGAACACCGGUGGCGAAAGCGGCUUACUGGGUCUCUUCUGACGCUGAGGCGCGAAAGCUAGGGGAGCAAACGGG
rnacentral:rRNA from 1 species